GACAUGACUCUCGGCAACGGAUAUCUCGGCUCUCGCAUCGAUGAAGAACGUAGCGAAAUGCGAUACCUGGUGUGAAUUGCAGAAUCCCGCGAACCAUCGAGUCUUUGAACGCAAGUUGCGCCCGAGGCCUUUCGGCUGAGGGCACGCCUGCCUGGGCGUCACGC
rnacentral:rRNA from 1 species